UACGUAGGGCGCAAGCGUUGUCCGGAAUUAUUGGGCGUAAAGAGCUCGUAGGUGGUUUGUUACGUCUGCUGUGAAAACCUAGGGCUUAACCCUGGGCCUGCAGUGGAUACGGGCAGACUAGAGGUAGGUAGGGGAGAAUGGAAUUCCCGGUGUAGCGGUGAAAUGCGCAGAUAUCAGGAGGAACACCGGUGGCGAAGGCGGGUCUCUGGGCCGUUACUGACGCUGAGGAGCGAAAGCGUGGGGAGCGAACAGG
rnacentral:rRNA from 1 species